rnacentral:rRNA from 1 species
GAUGAACGCUAGCGGCAGGCCUAACACAUGCAAGUCGAGGGAGAAGCCCUUUCGGGGGCAGAAACCGGCGCACGGGUGCGUAACGCGUAUGCAACCUACCUUUCACAGGGGGAUAGCCCGAAGACAUUUGGAUUAAUACCCCAUAAUAUUAUUGGAUGGCAUCAUUUGAUAAUUAAAACUGCGGUGGUGAAAGAUGGGCAUGCGUCCUAUUAGCUAGUUGGAGUGGUAACGGCACCCCAAGGCUACGAUAGGUAGGGGUCCUGAGAGGGAGAUCCCCCACACUGGAACUGAGACAGGGACCAGACUCCUACGGGAGGCAGCAGUGAGGAAUAUUGGUCAAUGGUCGGAAGACUGAACCAGCCAUGCCGCGUGCAGGAAGAAUGCCUUAUGGGUUGUAAACUGCUUUUAUAUGGGAAGAAUAAGGCGUACGUGUACGUUGAUGACGGUACCAUAUGAAUAAGCAUCGGCUAACUCCGUG